rnacentral:rRNA from 1 species
UGGGGAAUUUUGCGCAAUGGACGAAAGUCUGACGCAGCGACGCCGCGUGUGCGAUGAAGGCCUUUGGGUCGUAAAGCACUGUCGACCGGGACGAAAACUCACGGACUAAUACUUCGUGAGUCUGACGGUACUGGUAAAGGAAGCACCGGCUAACUCUGUGCCAGCAGCCGCGGUAAUACGAAGGGGGCUAGCGUUGUUCGGAUUUACUGGGCGUAAAGCGCGUGUAGGCGGGUCGUUAAGUUGGGGGUGAAAUCCCGAGGCUCAACCUCGGAACUGCCUUCAAAACUGGCGACCUGGACCUAAGUAGAGGCAAGUGGAAUUGCGAGUGUAGAGGUGAAAUUCGUAGAUAUUCGCAGGAACACCAGUGGCGAAGGCGACUUGCUGGACUUAUGGUGACGCUGAGACGCGAAAGCGUGGGGAGCAAACAGGAUUAGAUACCCUUGUAGUCCCUGAGCGGGCUGGCAAGGCGCAU